GUUGGCUAGUUUUUCUUUGUCUAAAUUGUCCCAUUUGGCUGGGCCCCUUGGCUUUCAUCUAUUAGAAUGGGGAUAUAGAAAACGCUUCCUCUUGGUUUAUGAGAUUAAACCAGGAUGGAGGUUGACAUAAACAUUUCUGGGCCAUCAGAGCUCUGUGAAGAGCACUUCUGUGUUCCAGAUGCGGGGCGUGCCUGUGCAGAGCCCACCCGGAGAUCACAGUUUGCUGACUUGUCGAUGGCCGCCUAGAGGAAGGCAGGGAUUCUGAAUAAUGACUCUGCAAACUGGAGACAAGAGACCCAGAAGCCACCAUUCUUCCGGCAGUGUUUACAAUGUAGGCGAGAGGCCACAGACAUAUUUUUGAGUGCUGAAAUGAAUCUGAUUGUGGGGGAAGAGAGAAGCAUUUUGUAAUUAAAAAGUGGAAGCCGAAGCCCUGGCUGCUCAUCUCACAGGGUGAUUCUGAGGAUCUGCUUGGAGAGAAUGAGUCUUCAGUUAGACCUGAGGCUGGGAGCGGACAAGAUUCUGUAAAGACACUGUGAUAAGUUACUGGUGGCUUCUAGGGACCGCUCCUUGCAGCCCCUGCUACUGAGAAUUAACCACUCAAACUUCCCACUCAGCCAGGGCACUGAAAUCAGUGAUGUGCUUAGGAGGGCCAGCUCAUGGGAGGAAAGGAAUGGCAUCCCCAGAAGACAGAGCAGCAUGCGCAGAGGUGCCGAGGUGGGUAACGGCCUGGCCCAUUCUAAGAUGCAGGGGACAGACCUGAGAUAAAGCUGGAGGACAGGUUGGACACACAGAUUCCUAGAGGACAAUGAUGAGUUGGCCACACUGAGUGAGUGGCAGUGGGGUUGUGCUUGGACUUGACAGCCGUCAGCUCGGUGGCAACGCAGACAGAAAGCAAAGGAUGUCACCGUCAGAGGCGUCAGGACACAGGGAGGGUGGGACCUGGACGGUGGGCGUGGCGCAGGGUGAGAGGAUGGAGUUGAGGCUGUCGGGGAGGCAGGGUGGACGGCUGCAGGAGAGGCUCAGCAGGAGUGAAGGAGGACGCUGGAGUUAGGACAGAUAGGGAUUCAGGAAGCAGAAGGGGUCUGGGCUGAGGGCCCAGAAGAACCCCGCGGGGCCCCUGGAGCCAAACGCCUCAAAAUCUACUUUCUUCAGGACAGAACUCAGCCCCCCCCCCCGGGACCCCGCAUUUUCUGUCCUUUGGGAGCCCACCGACCUGCCCUCCUGGCCUCCGCCUCCGCCUCCUCCUCCACACCCCGGCUGGUCCCCUGCCCCCUCACUUCCCUCAUCUCGGCCCAUUUCAGGUCCAUCCCACUGCACUCCCGUGCACCCCGCUUCACUGAAUGCCCGAGCACGGUGUGGCUUGCCUGUCUGCUUCCCUCACUGACCCAUGGGGUGGACGUGAACGUGCCUGGCGGAUGGAGAAGUGGACCUGCAGGAGGGCCCUGGAGGACGUGCUCACAGAAAAAGAGCACAGUCAGGUGCGUGGGCGCGGUGGGAGGCCCCUCUGUUCACACACGGCUCCCUCAAGGCUCUGGCCCUUUGCUCCGGCCAGGAAUCCUGCAGGUCUGGGUAGGCCUGCUGCCAGGGUGCACCUAGCAGAUGUCCUUCCUGGGGGUCAGUGGGCUGCCCCGACCUCAUCUGACGACACCUUCCCACAUGGCUCUUCUUCUUUUCCACCUCUGAGGCACCUGCACUGUGCCGUCUCAGGAAGAGGAACCUCUGGCUCUUGGUCUUCAAGUCCUCCGCCCAGGAGGGGCCAGUGCUGCACUUCCAGGGGUGACUGGCACCUUGGCCUGGACUGUGGCCAGGGGGCUCGCCGCCUCCAUCACCUGAGGUUUUCACUCAUGCACUUGACCUUGGUAUCCACAUAGGAGGCUCUGGGAAGUUCAUAACACGGUCAAGAAGUUCUAAGCUUGACAGAGGCUUCUCUUUAUUCUUUCAGUCCUAAUACCCAGCUUAUAAUAGAUGCUCAGUGAACAUGUUAUUUUAUAGGUGUGUGAAUAGAGACCUUUCCUUGAAAUCGUA